rnacentral:rRNA from 1 species
GGAGUUUGGUCCGUGUCUCAGUACCAAUGUGGGGGACCUUCCUCUCAGAACCCCUACUGAUCGUCGCCUUGGUGGGCCGUUACCCCGCCAACCGGCUAAUCAGACGCAUCCCCAUCCCUUACCGAUGAAUCUUUGCUCCUCGUUAGAUGCCCGCAAAGGAGAACAUAGGGCAUUAAUCCGUCUUUCAACGGGCUGGACCCUACUGGCGGGGAAGGUUGGAUACGCGUUACGCACCCGUGCGCCGGUCGCCAUCAUAGGUUGCAAAGCAACCUACAUGCCUGCCCCUCGACUUGCAUGUGUUAAGCCUGUAGCUAGCGUUCAUC